ACGUAGGGGGCGAGCGUUGUUCGGAAUUACUGGGCGUAAAGGGAGCGUAGGCGGGUCAGUAAGUUAGAAGUUUAAUGCACAGGCUUAACCUGUGACUUGCUUUUAAUACUGCUAAUCUUGAGUAUGGAAGAGGGAGAUGGAAUUCCAGGUGUAGCGGUGGAAUGCGUAGAUAUCUGGAAGAACACCAUUAGCGAAGGCGGUCUCCUGGUCCAAUACUGACGCUGAGGCUCGAAAGCUAGGGGAGCAAACAGGAUUAGAUACCCUGGUAGUCCUAGCUGUAAACUAUGGAUACUAGAUGUUGGGGGAGUCAAUCUUUCCAGCGUCGUCGCUAACGCUUUAAGUAUCCCGCCUGGGAAGUACGCCCGCAAGGGUG
rnacentral:rRNA from 1 species